CUACGUAGGGGGCGAGCGUUGUCCGGAAUGAUUGGGCGUAAAGGGCGCGUAGGCGGCCCGGUAAGUCUGGAGUGAAAGUCCUGUUUUUAAGAUGGGAAUUGCUUUGGAUACUGUCGGGCUUGAGUGCAGGAGAGGUAAGUGGAAUUCCCAGUGUAGCGGUGAAAUGCGUAGAGAUUGGGAGGAACACCAGUGGCGAAGGCGACUUACUGGACUGUAACUGACGCUGAGGCGCGAAAGUGUGGGGAGCAAACAGGAUUAGAUACCCUGGUAGUCCACACUGUAAACGAUGAAUGCUAGGCGUAGGGGGUAUCGACCCCUUCUGUGCCGCAGUCAACACAAUAAGCAUUCCGCCUGGGGAGUACGGCCGCAAGGUUGAAACUCAAAUGAAUUGACGGGG
rnacentral:rRNA from 1 species